rnacentral:lncRNA from 1 species
AUGGAUGUUGUCAAGGAAACAAGAGAGAUGAUCAGUGACCCUUUGUUUAUAACUAAUGCUAACUUUGGCAUAAAAUACCUAACCAGGAAUAACCCAAGGACACUACUCUGGGGCCUGGGGCUGUGGAGAUGAGCCCAGCAAGGUGAGUCAGCGUUGAACAGUGUGAUGCAGGAAAUGUCCCAAGGGCCAGAGUGGAUAGUGAGGACUUGAGGUACCAGUUGUUUUUUUCACACCAGUCCACUGACUACCGUGGGUUCAUUUCUGCUGCCUAAAGUAAACUUGACUAGGAAUGUUUUCGAGAUUCUCGACUUGGAGUAACUCCAGACAGAGUCUCAAACAUGGUGGGACUAUCUUAUUGAAGCUACGAGUUUAACCCUGAAAUGUGGAAUACACUAAGAUUAUUAGACAGCGUGUCAGUAAUGGAGUGCUAGGUUUGGUGCUGGGCUCCUAAGUUCUAUUUACUGCUCCUUCCUCAUGAUUUAACUCAUGAUCAAAUCUCAACAUCUUUGUUCUUCUAUUUAUUUGCUUGUUAAAUGAGGAAAACUAUUUUCCUAUUUCAGUGUCAUGGGACUGGUGCACAGAGGUAAAACUGUAAUCGUUGGGUUGGCAUAAUUUCUAUUUUUUGUGUUAAUUAUAGAAUCAUCUUCAAUCUUAUUUGUCUAUUUAUUAAUCCAGUUGUUUACUCAUCUGACCUACAAGUAAUUAAUGAACCCCUAAACCUGCUCUCAGUUCAGAUUUAAAGAAGUUAAUUUCUAGCCAGGCAAAAAGGCUAAGAAGAUUUCAUGUUAUCUUUCUGAGCUCUAUUCUCAUUAUAUUGGAAGUCUCAAACCAAAGGAAUGGGUAUGUGAGAAUGCAAUUUGGGGUAUCCACUGAUUGGGUGGAGAAGUUUGCAUUAGUUCUCCAGAAAUUUACACAGAUGGGAUUGUCUGGUGACGGUGGGAAUUGAAGCAGUCUUAUUUGCUGUACAAUGCUGUUAUCUAAUGUCUUUCAUUAUUUAACGAUUAUUUAUUGAAUGAUUUCCGUAGACAAGGAACUAUGUUGGUCCUGAAAGGAACAUAAAGUUGAGUGAUAUUCUGUCCUUCCAUCAAGUAGUUUAUCUUGUAAGAAGGAAGAUGAUACAUUCUCAUAGGUG